rnacentral:rRNA from 1 species
GUGGGGAAUCUUCCGCAAUGGACGAAAGUCUGACGGAGCAACGCCGCGUGGAGGACGAAGGCCUUCGGGUUGUAAACUCCUUUUGGAGGGGAAGAAUAAAUUGACGGUACCCUCAGAAAAAGCCACGGCUAACUACGUGCCAGCAGCCGCGGUAAUACGUAGGUGGCGAGCGUUACUCGGAAUUACUAGGCGUAAAGCGUAUGUAGGUGGUUAGAUAAGUCUAUGGUGAAAUUUCCUGGCUUAACUGGGAAGGGACAUAGAUACUAUCUGGCUUGAGUGUGGGAGGGGGAGACGGAAUUCCUGGUGUAGCGGUGAAAUGCGUAGAUAUCAGGAGGAACACCGAUGGCGAAAGCAGUCUCCUGGCCCAAUACUGACACUGAGGUACGAAAGCUAGGGUAGCAAACAGGAUUAGAUACCCUGGUAGUCC